rnacentral:rRNA from 1 species
UACGAAGGGGGCUAGCGUUGCUCGGAAUCACUGGGCGUAAAGGGCGCGUAGGCGGCCCGCACAAGUCUGCGGUGAAAACCUCCGGCUUAACCGGGGGCCGGCCGUGGAAACUGUCGGGCUGGAGGCUGGGAGAGGGCAGCGGAAUUCCCGGUGUAGCGGUGAAAUGCGUAGAGAUCGGGAGGAACACCGGUGGCGAAGGCGGCUGCCUGGACCAGUCCUGACGCUGAGGCGCGAAAGCUAGGGGAGCAAACAGG